GGAGACGUGGGAGAGUGGUUAAUCCGCUAGCUUCAGGUUAACAGCCUCAAUCCGCUAGUCCUUCGGGUCAUGCGUUCGAAUCGCAUCGUCUUCA